AUUCAGGUGGGCCUAGUGGAAUCAGGUGCGUUCCUAAAAGUGAAAGAGGGAAGCAGAGAUGUAGUCCGUCAAAGAUGUGACUGUGGAGGAAAGGCACAAAGAAUGCAACAUUACUGGCUUUAAAGAUGGAAGUGGGGCCGUGAGAUAAGGAAUGCAGGUAGCCUCUUGAAGCUGGAAAAGAAAAUCAUGACUAGCUUCUGGCCAUGACAAAAGUUAUGUCAGCAUCAUUAUGUAACACCUGUGAUCGGUGCAGAAUGGAAGAGGUUUAAGAACCAGAACGGAGUCCUCUAUAUAACUGAAAAGUUUCUCUACAAUGUUAAAUGUGCUGCUCAAUCCCCCGAAGUAAAGUAAAUGGCCUGCAGCGAAGUCUGAGGAAAGCUCUACAACACCAUGAAUAUAGCUCAUGAAAGCUGGCACAGAGAUUAGCCCUGAGCUAACUGCUGCCAAUCCUCCUCUUUUUUUGCUGAGGAAGUCUGGCCCUGAGCCAACAUCCAUGCCCAUCUUCCUCUACUCUACAUGUGGGACACCUACCACAGCAUGGCUUCCCAAGCAGUGCCAUGUCCACCCCCGAGAUCUGAACCUGCCAUCCCUGGGCCACCGAUGCAGAACAUGCGAACUUAGCUGUUGUGCCACUGGGCCGGCCCCAUUGUGUUUUAAUGUUAUAUAAAAUUUAUGUUAUUUUUGCAAGCUAUAGAUCUGUUCAAAAUAGAGGCUUCUAUUCCUAAUUUUUUGGAAUAUUUUCUUCAUUCACUUACUUAUUCACUCAAUGACUUAGUGAAUAUUACAGAGUGCUUACCUAGUAUGUGCCAGAUACUUUUAUCAGAAUUUAAAAAUGAAUGUAUGACUCUAGAGAUGAUUUAAUUUUUUAAAUUGUUUCAUGUGAAAAUGAUAGGGCCAAUCUUUAUAAGCAAA
rnacentral:lncRNA from 1 species